AAUCAAACCGGGAGAUAGCUGGUUCUCCCCGAAAGCUAUUUAGGUAGCGCCUCGUGAACUCAUCUCCGGGGGUAGAGCACUGUUUCGGCUAGGGGGCCAUCCCGGCUUACCAACCCGAUGCAAACUGCGAAUACCGGAGAAUGUUAUCACGGGAGACACACGGCGGGUGCUAACGUCCGUCGUGAAGAGGGAAACAACCCAGACCGCCAGCUAAGGUCCCAAAGUCAUGGUUAAGUGGGAAACGAUGUGGGAAGGCCCAGACAGCCAGGAUGUUGGCUUAGAAGCAGCCAUCAUUUAAAGAAAGCGUAAUAGCUCACUGGUCGAGUCGGCCUGCGCGGAAGAUGUAACGGGGCUAAACCAUGCACCGAAGCUGCGGCAGCGACACUAUGUGU
rnacentral:rRNA from 1 species